UCUGCCUGAUAAGAAAUGUUGCAGAGCUUAAUAUAGUAAAAAUGGGCAGAUUGACUGAAUGUAAAGUUCGUCAGGCUGUUUAAUAUCAAUGUAUGAUGUUAAUUACAUUAGUGCCUGAUUUAUGUAUCAUUUACGUAGCCGGCUGCUGUGGGAAAUUCGGUCGCCUGCAUGUCAAACCAAUUAUUAUAUAGACACUGAUCAUGAUACAUUUCAAAGGUUCUUGUUAAGGUCAUUUUAUCGUGUAUCCUAUUAGAGGAACACAGUGUUCUCUCGGGCCAUUACCUGAGAUAAUUUUGUACAUUCGGGAAAUUGAUAUUGCGAGGUUGAGGUGGAUUCUAAGGUAGUAACUAAGCAAUAAUACAUCAUAAUGGCGAGGUACAGGACGGAGUUGACGAUCCCCAUACACAAGACAGACCUCACGUUUGCCGAACGCCAAAAGAACCUUUGGGGCGAUAUGGAAGCAGAAAUGGAGCGCAGACGACAGGAGUGGGAGGGGGAAAUCGAUCGUAUGCGUCAAAGUUUCUUCAAAUUGAAACCAUACGAGGCUAUGCGAGGCAGUAAGGAGAACCUUAUUGAUCUAACUGAAAAGAAAAAUCAGCAAUCCGUCUUUGUUGAUGAUAAAGAAGGGAAUCCACAAUUCAAGGUCAGAUUUGAUGUGGCUGGUUUUAAACCUGAAGAAAUAAACGUCCGUACACAAGAUAAGAAACUAAUGGUUACGGCCAAGCACGAGGAGACCGUUGAAGGCAGCCAAACGAUUAAACAAUUUUCCAGACAGGUUGAUAUCCCAUCUAACGUAGAGGCAACCGAUUUAAGUUCAGUAUUGACUAAUGAUGGGGUCCUAAUCAUCCAAGCACCACUCCCUGCUCCUGGUUACGCUAAACUCCAAAUCUCGACUCCAACUAAGCGUCUUCCAACUGGGGGCCCGGUCUACGUUGACGCAGAUGGCAUAAGGAAACUGCGUAUCGUUGUGGACGUUGGUAAAGAUUUUAAUCCAGAAGACGUCACUGUUAAAACUGUUGACACGAAGCUUCUCGUCAGCGCAUCCAAAGAGGAGAAAUCCGCUAAUAGAACCAUGCAAAGGACAUUUAACAAGGAGUAUGAUAUGCCAGAGAGCGUCGAUCCAUUCACAAUUAAUGCGUUCUUGGAUGAUGACGGCAAGCUAACAGUUGAGGCUCCGCUGACGACAUACGCUACUCCUUCUCCUUCGCCUACUACCCCCACCCAGAAAAUCAACAUCUCUGUGAGGAAGUUUCCCUUGUCCCCAUAAGACGCAGUGGAUCAAUGGUGUCAAAAAUCAAAUUGUAUAUCACUUAAGUUUUUAAAUAAUUAAUUAUCUAUCAGACAUAAUUUGAGAAGGUGUGUGUUUCACAUUCAAAAAGGCAUAUAACGACAUUGGUCAUUUGAAAUUUCAAUUUGCGAUUCAACACACCAGUGAACACACAUGGAUACAAAAUAUGCAAAUAGUAGCUGCGAAUAUGUUGGAAAGAUUCCCAAAUAACAACUUAUCAGUUAUAAAUAUUUACCGAUGUUAACGACUUGUGAAAACGAAUCGAAGUAGUUGUUAAUUGUUGAAGUUAUGGCAUGGCAUUUACUUAUAUAUUAUAAUAUUUCAACAAAUCUAAACCUACUAUGAUAACGUGAACUAUAUAACUUGGACUAUGUUUUUUAAGGGCUAGGUUUGUAGCCUUUCUAGUUAGGUCAUGUCAUAAUUUAUGCUUAUAAUAUGUUCUUUAUACUCAUUAAAAUCAAAAAUAUUUUCCAAAUUAUUUUUAUGUUUCAAUGAGUGAUGGGUGAUAUAUCCGAAUAUAAGGGUCUUCCAAAAGGUUUUGCACCGAAUCUCCUCAAGAGAAGGUAUGUUUUUUUAUUCUACAAAGAUACAGAUACAGUUUUACCCUUCCUCCAUGCUUAUUUGAGUCAGGACCUUUACUUCAUGAGAUACAUUGUUUGUAAAAUAGUACUUAUAUAAGAUCUCUUAUAUAUUAUGAAACCUUGACAGUGUAAGGAUAUAAGGUUGUGCGAUCUACCUACUAAUAUAGUUGGUUCUAGGAGAUAUUUGUCAAGAACUUUUUGAACGACCCUAAUAAUUUUCUCAAUUCUUAUUGCUUAAACAGCCGCCUGGCUCAUGAUGUCCCUUAUUGUCACUCACAUUUGAUAACUUUAAAAGUGAUAUGAAGAAACAAAAUGGGCUGCCAUUUUCAA
rnacentral:misc_RNA from 1 species